rnacentral:rRNA from 1 species
CCCUUAGAGUUUGAUCCUGGCUCAGGAUGAACGCUAGCGGCAGGCCUAACACAUGCAAGUCGAGGGGUAUAGGGAGCUUGCUCCCUUGAGACCGGCGCACGGGUGCGUAACGCGUAUGCAACCUACCUAUUGCAGGGGAAUAGCCCAGGGAAACUUGGAUUAAUGCCCCAUAGUCCAUAUUGAGAGCAUUUGAGAUAUGGUAAAGAUUCAUCGGCAAUAGAUGGGCAUGCGUCCUAUUAGCUAGUUGGUGCGGUAACGGCGCACCAAGGCUACGAUAGGUAGGGGCCCUGAGAGGGGGAUCCCCCACACUGGUACUGAGACACGGACCAGACUCCUACGGGAGGCAGCAGUGAGGAAUAUUGGACAAUGGGCGGGAGCCUGAUCCAGCCAUGCCGCGUGCAGGAAGACUGCCCUAUGGGUUGUAAACUGCUUUUUUACGGGAAGAAACACCCCCACGUGUGGGGGCUUGACGGUACCGUACGAAUAAGGAUCGGCUAACUCCGUGCCAGCAGCCGCGGUAAUACGGAGGAUCCGAGCGUUAUCCGGAAUCAUUGGGUUUAAAGGGUCCGUAGCGGGCGUCUAAGUCAGUGGUGAAAUCCCGCAGCUCAACUGUGGAAUUGCCAUUGAUACUGGUCGCCUUGAAUCGUUGUGAAGUGGCUAGAAUAUGUAGUGUAGCGGUGAAAUGCUUAGAUAUUACAUAGAAUACCGAUUGC